GUAUACAGCCAUACUACCCUGAAUGUGCUUGAUCUCCUCUGACUUUGGAAGCUAACCAUAAUUGGGGCUGGUUAGUACUUGGAUGGGAGACAACACUGUGAAAAUGUAGCCUACGUUUUACA
rnacentral:rRNA from 1 species